GACGAACGCUGGCGGCGUGCUUAACACAUGCAAGUCGAACGGAAAGGCCCUGCUUUUGUGGGGUGCUCGAGUGGCGAACGGGUGAGUAACACGUGAGUAACCUGCCCUUGACUUUGGGAUAACUUCAGGAAACUGGGGCUAAUACCGGAUAGGAGCUCCUGCUGCAUGGUGGGGGUUGGAAAGUUUCGGCGGUUGGGGAUGGACUCGCGGCUUAUCAGCUUGUUGGUGGGGUAGUGGCUUACCAAGGCUUUGACGGGUAGCCGGCCUGAGAGGGUGACCGGCGACAUUGGGACUGAGGUACGGCCCAGACUCCUACGGGAGGCAGCAGUGGGGAAUAUUGCACAAUGAGCGGAAGCCUGAUGCAGCAACGCCGCGUGCGGGAUGACGGCCUUCGGGUUGUAAACCGCUUUCGCCUGUGACGAAGCGUGAGUGACGGUAAUGGGUAAAGAAGCACCGGCUAACUACGUG
rnacentral:rRNA from 1 species